CAGAAUGCUUGAUCAAACUACACCAUGUGGUGAUCCAGUCUCUGCUGGUGAAUUAAAGAAUGAUAUGAGCACUGGUGAUGAACAAGUGCAAUGUAGUGAUGUGAUACCAGACAGCACUGAGAAGGAAGAAAAUGAUGGAAAUUUUAAUGGUAGGCUCACCAGUAAUAGUGAUGAAAACAGUGCAAGUAAAAGCGUGAAUACAAAUGGAAAUGAACAGAGCCGUUCUAUUGAUGACAUUACUAAUUCGCCAGCAAAAGAGAGCACACAUAUUUCAGAGGUUCAAACAGAGGUUAACACAAGUACUGAUGAUCCUGUCAAAGAUAGUUACACUAGUAAAGUAACUAGUUGUCCAGAAUGCAAGAAACUGAGACAAAGGAAAGAAAAGGUAUUCCUGAGAAAGAACAAGUCAUGUGCCAAGUUUGCAUGGAACCGACAUUUACUGUGUGGCUUUGAGGGUGCAGUCCACCCUGACUGGAUUCUCCACAUUGUUAAUGGCUUUGUCGGGCAAUCUGAUAUUUGUGUUUAUGGACGACCUAUAUAUGUGACACUGAUAGCGCGAAGGUCAAAGGAGUUUGCUGGAACCAGAUUUUUGAAGAGAGGAGCUAAUGAUGAGGGAAAUGUAGCUAAUGAAGUUGAGACAGAACAGAUUGUCCAUGAUGCCUCAGUACUGUCAUUCAAGAGUGGCAGAUUUACAUCUUAUGUCCAGCUGAGAGGAUCGGUUCCUUCCUUCUGGUCACAGGAGGUGAAGCAAGUUAUGGUGCCAAAACCACAAAUAAUUGUUGACCGUGCAGAUCCAUUCUGCUCAGCUGCCGGUCAGCAUUUCAAUCAACUCUUGAAAAGGUUUGGAGCUCCUGUGGUCAUUCUUAAUCUUGUCAAGAAGAAGGAAAAGAAGCGACAUGAGCAGAUUCUUAGUGAAGAACUGGAGAGGGCCGUGAUUUACCUGAACCAGUUUUUACCAGCACAGCAUGCCAUACAGUACAAAGCAUGGGACAUGGCUAGAUACAACAAGAGUAAAGACUGUAAUGUGAUGGAGAAGCUAACUGUCAUUGCUGAUGAGGUUUUCAAAUCCACUGGGUUUUUCCACAGUGGACAAGAAUUGUACUGCAACCAGAUCAGAAAAGAUUCAAGGUUGACAGGCAUGUAUGGCACUGGCUAUUCAGAUGAUUGUCUCGGCAGAGAACAGAAUGGCGUGCUUAGGACAAACUGCGUGGAUUGUCUGGACAGAACCAACACUGCUCAGUUCAUGGUCGGCAAAUGCGCUCUUGGUUUUCAGUUGCAUGCAUUAGGAGUGAUUGACAAACCAUUUGUGCAGUUUGACUCGGAUGCCGUAAGGAUUUUAGAAGAUCUCUAUGAGGCUCACGGCGACACACUUGCGCUACAGUAUGGUGGAUCACAGCUUGUUCAUGGCAUUCGCACCUAUCGCAAAGUGUCACCAUUUACAUCUCACUCAAGGGACAUCAUGCAGACUGUAUCUCGUUACUACAGCAACGCUUUCACCGAUGCCGACAAACAGCAAGCCAUGAAUCUGUUUCUUGGAAUAUUUUCACCGCUGCAGGAGAAACACAACAUCUGGGAAUUACCAAGUGAUUAUUACUUACAUCACAACACAACUUGGGACUUAAGAGCUUCUAAAAACAGAAAAAGGUAAUAUAAGCAAAGACGACGUGUCCAGCAACAAACCAGAAUCGUUCGCUCGAUUCUUUCCUUGCUUGUCUCCUUCCAUGAGAAACAUCUGAGAUUCCACCCGAAAAAAAACGCAUACUGUUGACUUGAUGUGGAAGAGCCAUGGAUAUUGUCUUUGACUGGGGAUUAGAUGUUAUUUGCCAGCGAAGUGUCAAAACUCAGCGAAAACCAAUCAGAGAAACGGCACGUAUCUUCGUAUAGCUACGUCAUCGGUGUGGAACCUUUUGGGUCCAGUCUGCCACGUCCCUGGAGCGUAGGAAGAACUGAGCAACAGAGGACAGAGCUCUUUGCUUAGGCUACAGACAACGGUGUUUUUGGUCUCUUCAAUUCUUCAGAUAACGUACAGCUUUCUUUCUUUUUUCCUUUCCUUCUCAGUUACACUAAGUGGUGGGAUCAGUCAGUGGUCAACUCCUUACCUCACCCUACUCCUGACGAAUCGCCUUCGGAUGAG
rnacentral:misc_RNA from 1 species